CAGCCGCCGCGGUAAAACGGAGGGUGCAAGCGUUACUCGGAAUUACUGGGCGUAAAGCGUGCGUAGGUGGUGGUUUAAGUCCGUUGUGAAAGCCCUGGGCUCAACCUGGGAAUUGCAGUGGAUACUGGGUCACUAGAGUGAGGUAGAGGAUAGUGGAAUUUCCGGUGUAGCAGUGAAAUGCGUAGAGAUCGGAAGGAACAUCUGUGGCGAAGGCGACUAUCUGGGCCAACACUGACACUGAGGCACGAAAGCGUGGGGAGCAAACAGGAUUAGAUACCCCAGUAGUCCCUGUCUCUUAUAC
rnacentral:rRNA from 1 species